rnacentral:rRNA from 1 species
AACGAACGCUGGCGGCAGGCCUAACACAUGCAAGUCGAACGCUGUAGCAAUACAGAGUGGCAGACGGGUGAGUAACGCGUGGGAACAUGCCCUUCGGUUCGGAAUAACUCAGGGAAACUUGAGCUAAUACCGGAUACGCCCUUAGGGGGAAAGAUUUAUUGCCGAAGGAUUGGCCCGCGUCCGAUUAGCUAGUUGGUGAGGUAAUGGCUCACCAAGGCGACGAUCGGUAGCUGGUCUGAGAGGAUGAUCAGCCACACUGGGACUGAGACACAGCCCAGACUCCUACGGGAGGCAGCAGUGGGGAAUAUUGGACAAUGGGCGCAAGCCUGAUCCAGCCAUGCCGCGUGAGUGAUGAAGGCCCUAGGGUUGUAAAGCUCUUUCGCCAGGGACGAUAAUGACGGUACCUGGAUAAGAAGCCCCGGCUAACUUCGUGCCAGCCGCCGCUGUAAAAC